CAGACCGUUGAGUUGCCCUGUUGACGUGAAGCAGACUGAUGCCUCACUGUAAUUGUAAGUGGUGAAGGUUUAAGAACAACUUUCAUCACAGUCAGGAGGAGAGUAAACUUCAGGAUGCAGAUCUACCCUGUAAUUGCCAUUUUUCUAAUAGGUAGACUUUAGAACUCUAAUGGCGCUUUCCAAGUUAUUUUAGCUGUUUACAUUUCAAGCUUAAACAUCUAACCUUCAGAAAUGGUUAUGUUUUAUCAUUGCAGUAGUAGCUUUUCAUGGUCUGUGCAGUUCUGUUCAAGUAUCUAGUUAAUGUGAUGGUACAGCUAAAGAAAACAGCUUCAGUAGUGGUGAGCCCAGAGCUAUUGCUGCUCUGACGACAGCAGUGCUUGUGUUUUACAGUAUGCCCUGGAGCGCUUAAAGGUCAUGUGUGAGGAUGCCCUCUGCAGUAACCUGUCCGUGGAGAAUGCUGCAGAAAUUCUCAUCCUGGCUGACCUCCACAGCGCAGAUCAGUUGAAAACUCAGGCAGUGGAUUUCAUCAACUAGUGAGUUGGCAUCUUCAAAGUUCUUUCAAAAUAGUUGGAUAGCUGAAGAAAUGAGAAAGACUUUGAAUUAGUGGGUAAAGCAGGCAAGUAGCUUCAUUAACCUUUUGGCAGUAAGUAUAGAGUUUUCAUCUUUUCCUUCAAUUGACUGUAUGGAAUUGACUUCAUGGGUUGAAUCCUAUUGUCAUGCUUCAGAUGUCUUGGAGACCUCCGGGUGGAAGUCAAUGGUGGUGUCACAUCCCCACUUGGUGGCUGAGGCAUACCGCUCUCUGGCUUCAGCACAGUGCCCUUUUCUGGGACCCCCACGCAAACGCCUGAAGCAAUCCUAAGAUCCUGCUUGUUGUAAGACUCUGUUUAAUUUCCAGAAGCAGCAGCCACUGUUGCUGCCACUGACCACC
rnacentral:sRNA from 1 species